AACGAACGCUGGCGGCAGGCUUAACACAUGCAAGUCGAGCGCCCCGCAAGGGGAGCGGCAGACGGGUGAGUAACGCGUGGGAAUCUACCCAUCUCUACGGAAUAACGCAUGGAAACGUGUGCUAAUACCGUAUACGUCCUUCGGGAGAAAGAUUUAUCGGAGAUGGGUGAGCCCGCGUUGGAUUAGCUAGUUGGUGGGGUAAAGGCCCACCAAGGCGACGAUCCAUAGCUGGUCUGAGAGGAUGAUCAGCCACACUGGGACUGAGACACGGCCCAGACUCCUACGGGAGGCAGCAGUGGGGAAUAUUGGACAAUGGGCGCAAGCCUGAUCCAGCCAUGCCGCGUGAGUGAUGAAGGCCCUAGGGUUGUAAAGCUCUUUCACCGGUGAAGAUAAUGACGGUAACCGGAGAAGAAGCCCCGGCUAACUUCGUGCCAGCAGCCGCAGUAA
rnacentral:rRNA from 1 species